rnacentral:lncRNA from 1 species
AUGUAUCUCAGGUAAAACUUCUUGAUCCUGCGUUUUGAGUGCUUGGAUCUUAUAAUUUAAAAGAACCUUUCGUCACUAUCUUAUACUAAGUUGGAACUUGGAAGUGGACCAGCUUGCAAUUUAUUGUCUUAUUAUAUGCCUAAGUGGAGAACACAUGACAAGCCAUGCAGAUAUCACAUGGAUGACAUGUCAGUGCCAGCAUAUCAAUGCAUGUGCACAAAGUUAAUAUAUAGCAGCAGUCAUCAUGCUAAUAAUAGUAUUACCAUGGUUAUGUUGCCUAUUAGCAGUCAUCAGCUUGCAAUUUAUUGUCUAUAUGCCUAAGUGGAGAACACAUGACAAGCCAUGUAGAUAUCACAUGGAUGACAUGUCAGUGCCAGCAUAUCAAUGCAUGUGCACAAAGUUAAUAUAUAGCAGCAGUCAUCAUGCUAAUAAUAGUAUUACCAUGGUUAUGUUGCCUAUUAGCUUAUGACUAUGUGUUUAUGCUUGGAUUUAUGCAUCAUGCAGGUUC